AUUUUCAAAAAAAUAGAUGUUCAUGUAUCUUUCUUUCCUUUUUCAUAGGCAUUUUAGUGGAAGUUUGGAAGAUUCUGGCACAAACUAUUUUCGUAUCAUCAUUUUAAUGUUGCAUCAACUGUUUCACCCUGAACCCACUGAAGUUGCCUGUUAGGAACUCCAGCAGGUGCCUAUGGAUUUGUAUGAGUCGUAUCUUAUCGAGACUCCUGGCAAACUUAAUUUGCAUCAGUUUGUAAUCAGAAUUGAGGCUUGUUUGAGUUUAGAUUCUGAAUUACCUAAAAUUAGUGCAAAAAUUCUGAUCUAAGAGUGUUUGUACAUUGUAUUAAUCUCCUUUGAAAGACUAACACAUUAUUACAUAUAUAUGUAUCAAAUAGCUUAAAAUAAUUCUGACAUUUUUAUGUCCCUCUACCUUGAAAAAAACUACAACUUGGUACUGAAGAAGUACUUUGUUAUUCUGUCUUUGUCCAUCUCUCUCUCUCUUUCUCUCUCGCCCUCAUUUAUUAAGUGCCUUAUGAGCAACUUGGUCAUGGUCCAUCACCUCUAAAUAUUUUUGUGGAGGACAUCCAUCAGUUACAUUAUUCCGAUUAAAUAUGUGUAUGGAGAUUAAAAAAAGAAAAUGUUCUUUAUUAUUUCAAAUGCCCUCCUAUCCCAUGUUUAAAUACACAGUGAGAUUCUGAUUCAGACAACUGCUUUAAAUCACUCUUAUUUUUUUCACUUUGGCAUUAGUAAGAAAAGUAAACAUUUUUUGGUAAUACAAAUGUUACAUCUCUGUAAACAUAGGAUGUAGUCUUUUAAAUUAAAUAUGUCAAAAUGAAUUAAAAUGAUGGACUAUUUUAGUUUGGUUAUUAAUUGAUUAGUAGUGCAUUUAACUAUUACUUUGAUUAUAUCAGUGACUCAUAAGCUUUGCCCUUUUUGUGGUCACUGGCAGCAUAGCUGAUUUUUAAAGGACUUUUUCUGGCUUCAUUGACUUUUGUAGUGAGCACAGUUCCUUUCGGUCACUUGCUCCCUUUGAUGAUAGUCUCUUUAUUGACUCAAUGAUGAAUAAUAUCCUCAGUAUUCAUAUUCAAGUACUCCAAACACAGAUGAACUGAGACACUGGAUCAGAUCCAUGGAAUACUUAACAUGCUUAAUUUUAACAAUUCAAAUGGUUAGAUGAUGCACUUAAGUUUGAAUUAAAUUUUCCAUCCAUGGAUUCAACAUGUUCUUCCAACUUAAAAAGAAAGCAGAAAGAGAGGUCCCUGCAAAUAUUAAAAAGAAAUAAAAUAACCAGAAAAGACCAAAAGAUCAAGAGAAAAGCAUCCUACAUGACCUUGAGUGGAUUUAUGUUUUUGAGCUAUACAUGGAUAAACAGAAACAGUAAUCAUAGUUCAUAUAUUACUAAGAACAAAGUAGACAUUAUUUAUCAUUGUUUCUAAUUAUGCAUUUUAAAAAUUGAUUUUAUUGCCUAUUGACUAUUUCAUAGGCCUAUCACAUUAGUAUAAAACUAGUUGUCCUGUUAAAACCAAUUAAAGUGUUUGAGUUAAAUCUUAAUUUGGAUGUAUAUCAAUUGCAGAAAUGUUCUAAAAAAUUUUUAUAUUUCCUCUUAAAUCAAAAUGUAUGAAUCUCAGAUACCAAAUACUAUUUAGUAUAUAAUUCUUUAGCACAUUAGAAAUUUUCUGGUCAAAUAUAAAUUUACUUCUCAUUUACAUUAUUAGUAAAAAAUAUGCAAAUGAUUUUUAGUGCAUCACAAUUUAUGGAAAUUUGUAAUUAACUGUGGCUAUCUUAUCCAUAGAACAUAAUCACAUUGUCAGUCUAUCUCUAAAAUACAAAGCUCUGUAUGUCAAUGUUCAAAUAUUCAAUGUGAAGAUAUUUGGAUAAAUAUUUUUUGAAUAAAUC
rnacentral:lncRNA from 1 species